UACGUAGGGUGCGAGCGUUAAUCGGAAUUACUGGGCGUAAAGUGUGCGCAGGCGGCCGAGCAAGUCGAGUGUGAAAGCCCCGAGCUUAACUUGGGAACUGCGCUCGAAACCCCCUGGCUAGAGUCCGGAAGAGGAGAGUGGAAUUCCUGGUGUAGCGGUGAAAUGCGCAGAUAUCAGGAAGAACACCCGUGGCGAAGGCGGCUCUCUGGGACGGUACUGACGCUGAGACGCGAAAGCGUGGGGAGCGAACAGG
rnacentral:rRNA from 1 species